GCAUGGCUGAAUAUUCUGUUCUUUAGUCAGUAAUUUACACAGCCAGACACCAUGCAAAAGUAACAUCUUCCUUUAAAAUGAUAGGUAUGCCGGUUUUGUUAUGGUAUAUCAUCAUUAAAAGUUAGUACAAGU